rnacentral:rRNA from 1 species
UGGCUAAUAAGUGACGGUACCUUACCAGAAAGGGACGGCUAACUACGUGCCAGCAGCCGCGGUAAUACGUAGGUCCCGAGCGUUAUCCGGAAUUAUUGGGCGUAAAGGGCACGUAGGCGGACAAAUAAGUUUGAUGUCAAAUAUGAUGGCUCAACCAUCAAGAGGCGUUGAAAACUGUUUAUCUAGAAUCUCGGAGAGGUAAGUGGAAUUCCAUGUGUAGCGGUGGAAUGCGUAGAUAUAUGGAGGAACACCAAUGGCGAAGGCAGCUUACUGGACGAAGAUUGACGCUGAGGUGCGAAAGCGUGGGUAGCAAACAGGAUUAGAUACCCUGGUAC